GGGGAGAAGUGGGGAAAAACGAGAGAGAGAGAGAGAGAUGGGCGCGGAGUAGGGUUAGGGUUAGGUCGGGUCGGGUCGUCGGGUUUCGGGUCAAGAAAUCAUACAUGGGCUGCCGUGGAGCGGUUUCGGUACCCCGCUGCCACACCCCGCUCCAACAUCGUUUAUAUUUUGGAGUUUUGACGCGCGAGUUUCUAACCCCGCUGCCACACCCUGCGCUGAACCGUCGUCUGAGUCUUCGAAUCGUGGCGCGAUGUCUCGACCCCGCUGCAUCACCCC
rnacentral:lncRNA from 1 species